UAGCCUUGCGAAAUUUGCCGUUUUUCAGUCAUUUUGUAUUACGCAUGGGAAAUUGACAGCCCAAUCGGGUGUUGGGGCAUCAAUUUCCCGUUUGUAAUACAAAAUGACUGAAAAUUGCAAAUUUCGCAGGGCUGUAUUAUCCGCAUUUUACAACAUUCCGCAACGAAACUUCGGAAUAUUACUAAUUUUGUGAUGCUCUUUCAAGCUGUGAUGAAAUUUUUGUCUAGAUCAAAAUUUUAGUUAUAAGGGGAAAGGUCCAUUG
rnacentral:lncRNA from 1 species